GGGGACUUGGUCUUGAAUUUGAACUGAUGCAGGGUUGUUUUGUUUAUUUUUCUGGAUGAUGAAUGUGUGCUUGUCCUGUAGGUAUUGAAGCUGAGUUUGGACUGGACUGAAUAUGAAUGUGACUUGUGUUUGAUUUUUGUGUGAUGUUGAUUUGUUGCAGGUUUUGGCUUAGCUUGGAACUUUAGUGAAUGAUGGUGAGAAUAGAACUGGUCAGAAAACGUAUGGACACAUGAUAUCGAGUAUGCAGAUCUUUGGAUUUUGAUGGUAUGUCGGAUUGGUGUCAAUGUAGGUUGAUUUUCUGUUGUGUACUUUCACUGAACCAUAAUGCGAACUGGAUUGUCAUUGUUGUAUGGGUUCGGAUGUGAUUUGAAAGGCGUAUCGAGGGGCAUGACAUGGUGUGGAUAGGAGUGAUGAAACUGAAGAUGGUUUUGAACUAAAGACCUGGUUUAGAAUAGGCUUUCAACAUUGUGUCUUUAAAUUUUUGUGAAGAUGUAAGGAUGCUUUGGUGGGAUUGGAACGGUCGAAUGUAUUUGUAUUUUGAAAUUGGUUUCUGAAUUAUGUUUUGAUGGACACUUGUAUUUUGUAAGAGAGACUUGUAACUUGAACCUUGGAUAAGUGGGAAUGAUGUUUAUGUUGGAAGUAUGAAUAUGUCAUCAGGUCUUGUAAUGAAUCUGGUGGAUUUGAAUGAAA